rnacentral:rRNA from 1 species
GAUGAACGCUGGCGGCGUGCCUAAUACAUGCAAGUCGAGCGAACAGACGAGGAGCUUGCUCCUCUGACGUUAGCGGCGGACGGGUGAGUAACACGUGGAUAACCUACCUAUAAGACUGGGAUAACUUCGGGAAACCGGAGCUAAUACCGGAUAAUAUAUUGAACCGCAUGGUUCAAUAGUGAAAGACGGUUUUGCUGUCACUUAUAGAUGGAUCCGCGCCGCAUUAGCUAGUUGGUAAGGUAACGGCUUACCAAGGCAACGAUGCGUAGCCGACCUGAGAGGGUGAACGGCCACACUGGAACUGAGACACGGUCCAGACUCCUACGGGAGGCAGCAGUAGGGAAUCUUCCGGAAUGGGCGAAAGCCUGACGGAGCAACGGCGCGUGAGGGAUGAAGGUCUUCGGAUCGGAAAACUCUGUUAUUAGGGAAGAACAAAUGUGUAAGUAACUAUGCACGUCUUGACGGUACCUAAUCAGAAAGCCACGGCUAACUACGUG